AAUCCCAUCAUACUCUCACUGUGGCAGUAGGAACACUCCACCGGAUGGAAGACUAAGGGGAGAGUACAUGGAGACAAAACAAGAAAGCAAAAGUAUGAACCAGAAUAAGGAAAAACACAGCUCAAUAGCAAAGCACUUUUCCACUGAGGGCCAUGAUUUCAGGAAACCAGCACAGUUCACUGAAAGACUCAGAAGUACAAAGGAUGAAUGCAGCUGACCAUCCAGUGGGCAGAGAGCAAAGCAAGUGUAGAGAAGUGGAAAAGGGAAAAUUAAAGCAGACAAAGUUAACUGUUUGAGAUUCGAAGCUUGUGAAUGAUCAAAUUCAAGCAGUUGUCUACAUGCUGUGAGCCAGACACCAAAACAACAAUAAAAUAACAACAACAACUCUUUGGUAAAGUUAUUCUCUAACCAGCCAGCAAAAAUAAAGCAAAUAUGAGUAGAUGAAAAUAAAAAGCAAAGUGAAAAUAUAAAGACAUAGCCAGUUCUGAAUGUGUUAUCCCCUAAACACGCGUUAUGAUCUCCUUUUUCUGGCUCUUGGGAAAGACGAAGGUGGAACUUGAAUCCAGGGACAACUGUUGUGGGACAGUACCUAAGAAGCUGAUCUCCUGCAGCAGGAAACACUGAAACCGAAGGAAUGAAAUUACAGCUUUACGACUGGAAAAUGACUAGUUCUGGAACUGUAAACAGUCAUCUGAACUCAUCCUGCAUAAUAAUACGGGCCUUGAUUGUGCUCUGCUUCUGCUUUAUGGAUGAGAAGCAUUAAAAAUAAAAACAACCCACACUUGUUAGUGAUGGCAGAGAAACUAGCAGUUCAUUCUUUAAACUUUUUCUGUGAGUACAGGGGAUAAAGUCAAAACUUUGAA